CGGAGGGUGCAAGCGUUAUCCGGAUUUACUGGGUUUAAAGGGUGCGUAGGCGGAUAGGUAAGUCAGUGGUGAAAUCUCCGAGCUUAACUCGGAAACUGCCGUUGAUACUAUUUAUCUUGAAUACCGUGGAGGUGAGCGGAAUAUGUCAUGUAGCGGUGAAAUGCUUAGAUAUGACAUAGAACACCGAUUGCGAAGGCAGCUCACUACGCGGUCAUUGACGCUGAGGCACGAAAGCGUGGGAUCAAACAGGAUU
rnacentral:rRNA from 1 species